GCCAGGUGAGAAGGGCCUGGGAUUCCUUUAUGAGGUGCAACCAAAACAGUUGUUUGACAUGGCAACAGGGAUAUUCUGGCAGGCAGUCGAGAAUUAGUUAUAGAAUACUGUUGUGGUUUUGAUCACUAAUAUGGCUUUUGGACGCUCUUUGAGUGUUUCUUGGAUUUGUUGCCUGCUAAUUGGAGGGAUAACAUGUUUUACACUUAAAGGUAACCCUCAUGGGCAUCCUGCCUACACUGGACCUGAACCAACUGGAUCCUAUGCCCAAGCAAGUGUGGUGUCUGGCCUCAGCAGAAGCGACAGGCCCCGGCGCCUCAGCAGAAGCGACAGGCCCCGGCGCCUCAGCAGAAGCGACAGGCCUUGAACAGACCACUCAACUAGGGAGAUCAUAAUUUGGUUUGACCAACUCCUUAAUCGUCUUAACCCUGUUACUGUGCCUAUUGCAGAAAGGGGUAAAGGUAACUGAGGUGGGGAAAUGUGCGAACUAAUGCGCUUGUUUGAAAUGAGGAUCUCCUUCACUUGUACAUCGUCAUGCAAAUUGUAUACAGGGGUGGAUGAUACAAUGUUAUGAAUUGUUUUUAUAAACAUAUGACUAAAUUGACUUCUGAUGUAGCGAUAUUGCUGACACACUUUUAGGUUCUACGGUUAUGCUUUUGAUUUAGCCUGGUGUUCCUGCUACUCUUGCAUGAUUUGCUCAAUAAACCAUUUGACUUUCAAAAAA